rnacentral:rRNA from 1 species
UAUGAGUCGGACCUGCCCAGUGAAUAUUUCAACGGCCGCGGUACUCUGACCGUGCAAAGGUAGCAUAAUCAUUUGCCUUAUAAUUGAAGGCUUGUAUGAAUGGUUUGACAAGAAUAAAGCUGUCUCUUUACAAAUAAGUAUAAUUUUAUUUACAGGUGAAGAAGCCUGUAUUAUAUUGAAAGACAAGAAGACCCUAUCGAGCUUUAAAUAAAUUAAUAAAAAGUAAAUUGUAUUUAUAUUGAGUUAGUUAUUAAAAAUUUUAGUUGGGGCGACUAAGGAACAAUCAAAGCUUCCUAAAAAUUUUAAGUGCUUUCAAGUUGUGAUCCAAAAAUUUUGAUUAAAGGAAUUAGUUACCGUAGGGAUAACAGCAUUAUCUUUUUUAAGAGUUCAAAUCGAAAAAAAGGUUUGUGACCUCGAUGUUGGACCAGAAUAUCCUGAAGAUGCAGCCGUCUUCAAGGGUUGGUCUGUUCGACCAUUAAAAUUCUACGUGAUCUGAGUUCAGACCGGCGUGAGCCAGGUCAGUUUCUAUCUUCAAUUUUUAAUGUGGACCUAGUACGAAAGGAUUGGUCUAUAAUAAUAAUUGUUUUUCCUGAUGUAGUAUAAAAACUUAUUAAGUUAUUAGGUAGAAGAGAUCAAAUUAGCAAAGAUAAUGCAAUUGACUUAGGAUCAAUAGACAUAGGUGAAAUUCCUUUAUUUGAUAUAAAUAUAAAGGUGGCAGAUUAA